rnacentral:rRNA from 1 species
GUGGGGAAUAUUGCACAAUGGGCGGAAGCCUGAUGCAGCAACGCCGCGUGCGGGAUGACGGCCUUCGGGUUGUAAACCGCUUUCAGCAGGGACGAAGCGCAAGUGACGGUACCUGCAGAAGAAGCACCGGCUAACUACGUGCCAGCAGCCGCGGUGAUACGUAGGGUGCGAGCGUUGUCCGGAUUUAUUGGGCGUAAAGAGCUUGUAGGCGGUUGGUUGCGUCGAAAGUGCAAACUCAGGGCUUAACUCUGAGCCUGCUUUCGAUACGGGCUGACUGGAGGAAGGUAGGGGAGAAUGGAAUUCCCGGUGGAGCGGUGGAAUGCGCAGAUAUCGGGAGGAACACCAGUGGCGAAGGCGGUUCUCUGGACCUUUCCUGACGCUGAGAAGCGAAAGCGUGGGGAGCAAACAGGCUUAGAAACCCUGGUAGUCC